rnacentral:tRNA from 1 species
GGCGCCUUAGCUCAGUUGGUUAGAGCAGCGGAAUCAUAAUCCGCGUGUCCCGUGUUCGAGUCACGGAGGCGCCACCA